rnacentral:lncRNA from 1 species
GUGAAUCAGACGACGGGCUAAAGCCUGUUGUCUGAUUGAAAAUGAGGCUGUUGUCUAGUAGCCUGUCGUCUGAUUGCAUUCAAUCAGAUGACAGGCUUUUUAUGUCGUCUUUUUUCUCAUUCAUACAACAUGUAUAUAUAAAUAUGUGUUGUCUGAAUUUAUGCAAUUUCUAUUAAUUUGGCUAAACUGUCGUAGAGUAUAGAAUCACACAACAGUUUAUUGCCCAAGUGUUGUGUGAAAUGAUCUUAGCACAACAAUUUUUCCAUGUCUGUGUGGUUGUGUGAUUCAUCCAACAACAUAGAUAUGAUAAAUAUGUUGUCUGGAGUGAACCUCAAACAAGAGUUCAUUUGGCAAUGAUAAAUAUGUUGUCUGAAGUAAACCUCAUACUAUAAAUACUAUUUCCUUCUAUUGUCUGAAUUCACCCUUAGAUAACAAUUUGUUUGAUGGCCCUGUUGUCUGAAAUAAGCUUCAGAUGACAUGUGUAGGACCAGUUGUCGUCUUGAAUGAACCUCACACUACACAUGUUUUCCCUUUAUGUUGUCUGAAUAUUACUUUGAAUAACAAGUUUGAGGAUGACUUUGUUGUCUGAAAUUCAUUUAAGAUAACAUGUGUGGGAUAAUUUGUCGUCUGAAAUGAACCUCAGAUUACACAUUCUUUCCCUUUAUGUUGUCUGAAUUUGAUUUAGGAUAACAAUUUCCAGGAUAUAUAUGUAGUCUGAAAUACAUUUUAGAUAACAAGUGAGGGAUGCAUGUGUUGUCUUAAAUGAACCUCACACUACCCUUACUAUUUCUUUUUGUUGUUUGAAUUGCAUUUAAUAUAACAAGUUACUGGAUGCAUGUGUUGUCUGAUAACUUUGCACUACUACAGUUACUUGUCCUGCAAAUAUGA